ACAUCAAUCUGGACUGACAUCAUCAAUGGUUUCUCCUGGUCUGUGUUUGAAGGUCUGACUCUUUCUCUAAACGGCCCGUCAGCGCUCUCUGACCAAGAGUUAUUACCAUUAUUAAUAAUGGGCGA